rnacentral:rRNA from 1 species
AGUGAACGCUGGCGGUAGGCCUAACACACGCAAGUCGAACGGCAGCACAGUAAGAGCUUGCUCUUACGGGUGGCGAGUGGCGGACGGGUGAGGAAUACAUCGGAAUCUACUUUUUCGUGGGGGAUAACGUAGGGAAACUUACGCUAAUACCGCAUACGACCUACGGGUGAAAGCAGGGGAUCUUCGGACCUUGCGCGAUUGAAUGAGCCGAUGUCGGAUUAGCUAGUUGGCGGGGUAAAGGCCCACCAAGGCGACGAUCCGUAGCUGGUCUGAGAGGAUGAUCAGCCACACUGGAACUGAGACACGGUCCAGACUCCUACGGGAGGCAGCAGUGGGGAAUAUUGGACAAUGGGCGCAAGCCUGAUCCAGCCAUACCGCGUGGGUGAAGAAGGCCUUCGGGUUGUAAAGCCCUUUUGUUGGGAAAGAAAAGCAGCAGGUUAAUACCCCGCUGCUCUGACGGUACCCAAAGAAUAAGCACCGGCUAACUUCGUG